AACAAACGCUGGCGGCGUGCCUAACACAUGCAAGUCGUACGAGAAAGUUGGCUUCGGCCAAUGAGUAAAGUGGCGCACGGGUGAGUAACGCGUGGAUAAUCUACCCCUCAGUUGGGAAUAACUCAUCGAAAGGUGAGCUAAUACCGAAUAAUACUGUAAGACCCUGGUCGAUCAGUCAAAGGGAGCCUCUGCUUGCAAGCUUUCGCUGAAGGAUGAGUCCGCGUACCAUUAGCUAGUUGGUAGGGUAAUGGCCUACCAAGGCGACGAUGGUUGGAUGGUCUGAGAGGAGGAUCAGACACACUGGAACUGAGAAACGGUCCAGACUCCUACGGGAGGCAGCAGUGAGGAAUCUUGCGCAAUGGGGGAAACCCUGACGCAGCAACGCCGCGUGAGUGAGGAAGGUCUUCGGAUCGUAAAGCUCUGUCAGAUGGGAAGAAAUACAUGGGGGUAAACAGCCCCCCUGCUUGACGGUACCAUCAGAGGAAGCACCGGCUAACUCCGUGCCAGCCGCCGCAGUAAGAC
rnacentral:rRNA from 1 species